AAAUAGUGUUCACAACAUGUAAAGGUGUUUAUUUCUUCAGGACAGUGCCAGCAAAGAGCUUACCUGGAGGCUGAAUGGUCCUUCUCACAUCAUGAAUUGCUUCAAGAAUUUUAUUUUCUACUUGGACAGAGGACAAUCCAGCCAUGUAAGAAACAAAACUUUGUAACAGCUGUUAACCAGUUUUUAUCUUACUUAAGAAGAAACUGGAAGGGA
rnacentral:lncRNA from 1 species